rnacentral:rRNA from 1 species
UCAGACGCGAAAGCUAGGGUAGCCAAACGGGAUUAGAGACCCCGGUAGUCCCUAGGCUGUAGACGAUGUGAACUUGGUGUCGGUGGGAUUAAAUCCCAUCGGUAUCGAAGCUAACGCGAUAAGUUCCACCGCCUGAGGACUACGGCCGCAAGGUUAAAACUCAAAGGAAUUGACGGGGACCCGCACAAGCAGCGGAGCGUGUGGUUUAAUUCGUUGCUACACGAAGAACCUUACCUGGGUUUGACAUAUAGGUUGUAGGGAACUGAAAAGGGACCGACCCUUCGGGGAGCCUAUACAGGUGUUGCAUGGCUGUCGUCAGCUCGUGUCGUGAGAUGUUCGGUUAAGUCCGCUAACGAGCGCAACCCUCGCCGCAUGUUAUAUGUGUCCAUACGGGACUGCCGGUAAAAAGCCGGAGGAAGGUGAGGAUGAUGUCAAGUCAGCAUGACCUUUAUAUCCCAGGGCU